GGGGGGUGGGUGUGGGUGUGAAGAAGUGUGCUGAGUUACCGUGAAUGAGGACCUGCGUCUAGCAGUUACCAUAGAAACGUGACGUCAGUAAGGCGACCGUGACGACUUUUUAAUGGAGACCGAAGCGGCCUGGCUAAGAGAACAGCUCCUCAGGCCGGUGGCCGAGCUCAUAUCAAGUGUCUGAAGGAAGCAGGCUGUGAGGGUCUGUGUCCAGAGGGCGGCUGGAGCUUCUACUCCAGAUUCAAGGGUAGUGGUCCUGAGGAGACCCCAAUGGUUCACACGUCUUUGGUGGGAUCUGAUUCCUGGUUCAAAUCACCCGUCUUGAGGGCAACACCUGAGCUUCUGCCUGUGCCCCGCUCCUCCUUCCAGGGAUGAGCCCACGGAUGUGGCUGAGACACCCAGGUCUCCUGACAGAAGGGGCAGGAUUUCAUUCUGUCAUCUUAUCUUCCUCACCCAGAGGGGUUGGUGAGUACCCUUGGGGCCACCACAGCAGGGAGUGUGAGUGACCCUUUCUCCAGCGCUGGGAGCUCAUCUUCUAAAAGGGUGACUGCUGUGUGUCCUCUAGAGAGGGUGAAGGGUGGAAGCUCAGCCCAUCCUGCCAC
rnacentral:lncRNA from 1 species